GAAUCCCAUCCACUCUACGCAAAAACUCCAGGUCCAUGGUUUGAGAGUUCUUGGCUGAUGACUGAGAAGUCUCUUUACCUGGAUAGUGCUCCAAUGUAUCACUCCGCAGGGUCAGUGAGACUUUUUUUCAUAACAUGUAUUACGCGAUCUGACCCAAAACGCUGCAAUUUACAUAUAUUUGUAUUUGAGCCUUUGCAUAAGCUCAUUUUUUAUAAAUGGUUUAUUCCUCCUGGACCAUUAUUUUAUAUAAUACGUGUAAUUUAACAUUUCAUUGGACCUAUUUCCGCGCCUAACGUUGACAGGCAGUGCUUAGGUCUCUCCUAAACAUGGCCACCAUGAUGGAGUAAAUGCUUCAACUUUAAAUUUCACAUUUUCAGAAGAAAACUUAAUUUUCUGUAUUCUAACAGGAAUGUUCCAACGGAAGACAUUAUGUCAAACAUAAUCCAUAUGAAAUAUUUGAAGAAAGUUUCUUGUUGGAUUUAAUACUGGUUUAAGUUGGCUGGAAGCUGGAAAGGAAAAAAAAGAAUUGCAUCAAUUCCGUAAGCGUUUUCUUUUCUCUCGAUAGUUUUAAAGCUUUAACAAACCUUUUGUGGGAAUUUACAAGUUGUGGAUAUAUCAUUAUUGCAAUCAUUUUACUGUGAAGAAUUCAAGAAACGAUUGGGAUGUAUAAUAUCAUUUUGAUGCGUUUUCCAGUGGAAAGUGAAUCUUGGUGGUCGAAAGGAGAGAAGUAACGUUUGUGUUAACUGGUUGACGUACUUUUUAUAAGCCAAGAACUGAAGAAUACAUAAAGGAAUAUAUCAGUUCAUGUAUGGUUUUGAGGCGCCGAAAGUGCACCGGUCGUUUCCCCAUAUUUUUGAAUUGGUGGAAGAUCGAGUCAACGAUACCCCCCCACCCCACUUAUAAUAAACGAAAGUAUUACAUUUCUCAUAUGGCUUUAAAGGUCAUGAAGGAAAUUCAUCUACACUUCUAGGGUUUAAAAGAAUGUCAUCAGAGUACAAGAGUCUGGAUCCCUCUGACCACGGACCGUCUCCUCCCCUGAGCAGCACUGGGGGGGGCUCCCCCUCAGACAGCCCCUCCCCUGCCUCCACAGACAGGCGCCCCCGUGGCCGGCCUCGUAAGGAUGCAGGCGCGCCCACGCGAGUACCCACACAAAAGAAAGGUCGUAGCAGAGGCCAGUCCCAGGCUGAGGAUGAGGACAGCAUGGACGGGACAGAAACCACUGAAGCCCAGAACAUGCAGGAGAUGGAAGUUAAGGAGCUGGUCCUGGAUGUUGAGGAGGUCAUCGUGCCCCUGUUGUCCAGCCCUGUGCCCAGCCCCAGGGACGACAGACCCCUUUCUCCACUAUUCCAGCGCUCUGUGUCGGAGGACUCAGCAGGAUCCUCUGCCUCGGCCUUGGAGCACGCCAAAAUCCGGUAAGGAGGGGCAGUGUGGUUGGAGUAGAGUGGGGUACAAAGUGAUAUAGAGGUGUCUGUAUGCAAGAUGGACAGAAUAAGGUAGAGCAGGGUAGAAAAAAAGCAAAAUUAGAUUCCAAUAAGAGGCAAAGAGAGUAAGACUGAAAUUCUAGCCAUUCUCAGAGAGAGUGUGAGGGAGAGGGUCACACUAGAGAGAAGGAGAGACUAUCAAAUAGAAGCCAUUAGAGAGCGAGAAUAUGACUGUUUCAGACAUGGUGUGUGUGAGGCGGUGGCGAGUGAGAACUGUGUGUGUGGUUAACAGUGGCUGGGUUGCGAGGCGUGUGUGUAUGGGUGUUUGUGCACCCUAUAAAACUAGUCUGAGUAGAGCGGGAGGGAGAGUGUGUGUGUUGAGAGAGCGAGAAACAAGCAAAGAAAAUAGGGUAUUUUUCAGGGAGAUGGUGGGAGGUGGGGAGGGAGGAGGAUGUGUGCUUGCACGCUCGAGUGAGCCACCGCGGUGAGGAGAGAGGACGUGGAAGGGGGAAGCGUGCAGGGAAGGUAAGCGAGGGAGGUAGAGAGGCUGGUGGGGGGAGGGGAACGAGCAGCAAAAAUAAUUGAGUGCCGGGGAUUGUGGGUAGCGGGGAAAAGCAGGCUGGGUAAAGAGGUCUCAGGGCCCUCGGCGGUAACCUGGCAGCUUGCAGACUGCAGGGCUGCUACUGUAAUUAGUAAAGGGAGGGGGUGGGGGAGAGAUGGGAAAGGG
rnacentral:lncRNA from 13 species